rnacentral:lncRNA from 12 species
GGCCUUUCUGAAGACAAAUGAAAUAAUGUCAUCUGUUCAAUACAAGCCUGUCCCCCCACAACUCAAUGAAAGAUGCUAUGUGUGAUGACCAAGCUUUCCCGUCAGCUGAAUUCAGAGACUGCAGCUCACAGUGCUUCCUAUGUUUAUUCACGGUGCUCUCACAUGGGAAAGUAGAGGCCUGGGCAUUUGCAUUUCUCCUGUGGUUCCACUCUCCUGGCCAAGAAACGCAUGAAGAAGGGGCUUCACUGGCCCAGAGCCCCUGCUAGGAUUCCAUUCACGCCCACCCCUCCCUGACAGAGAAAGGCCCGCACAAGAAGGCUGGGCUCUCAUAAAGAGGGCUGCCAGGUUCAGGAAGACGCGGCUGUUUGUUCGGCACCACAGGACCCUGUGUGACACUCCACGGCCUGGGCGAGGGACUGUCACAGCAGCCUUUCACAAUUCAAAGAGGAAAGGAAAAUAGCCUGCCUUUGAGCGUCAGAGAUGUGGGAGAGGCAGGAAUCAAAUCAUGAAUAAAUAAAUAAAAACACCAACAGCUGUGAUAUUUAAAACAGACAAUCACUAUAACAGCAAAUGACAACCCUGCAGCCUGCAGAAUCUGCUAAUAAACUGUCUGCUGUGACUGUUAUUAAAGAUAAACUUAUGAGCCAUGAUUAUUCAACCAUUAAACCUAAGUAGAAAUCAAAGAAAGAACUGUGUCAGAUGAUAUAUUUGGUGCUGCGUGGCCUAGGAAAAUUACUCAUCAGAUUUGAAUCCUGAUGUCUCUGUCCUCUAAGGAUUGGUCCCUUGAAAUUUUGGCACUGUUUAUGCAGAAGCUUUCUUCUCUUUUUCCUUUAAUUAUAAUUUUAGUUUGCUAAUGUGUGACAUUUUGUUUUCAAUAAAUUGCUGUGAUAAACACAUCUCAUCUCAUUAUCCAUAGAAUAAUGGGAAUGCCAUUCAAUUCAGCAAGGGCACAGCUACUAGAAGGCAAGACUGUAAGACCUUCCUCAGAGCCAUCUACUGAUUGGAGCACCUUCGAUGCUGAGAACCUUGUUUUAAAAAGCUGCCAAGAAGUCUGGAUGAUUUUAUGGAAUGCAAAAAGGGAGGAUUUCAGCAGCACACAACUCCUAUUCCUCAAAAAGCCAUUAUGGAAGAAUUACCACACUCCACAGAGUAUCAGCUUUUUACCGUGACAACAUCUCCCCAGGUAACAUUAAAAAUAUGUCAUCUGUAAAAUCAAAUGACAUUUGUUU